AUUGAACGCUGGCGGCAGGCUUAACACAUGCAAGUCGAGCGAGCGGCGGACGGGUGAGUAAUGUCUGGGAAACUGCCUGAUGGAGGGGGAUAACUACUGGAAACGGUAGCUAAUACCGCAUACCAUCAGAUGUGCCCAGAUGGGAUUAGGUAGUAGGUGGGGUAAUGGUUCACCUAGGCGACGAUCACUAGCUGGUCUGAGAGGAUGACAAGCCAGACUGGAACUGUGAAACUGUCCAGACUCGUACGGGAGGCAGCAGUGGGGAAUCUUCCACAAUGGGCGCAAGCCUGAUUCAGCCAUGCCGUGUGUGUGAAGAAGGCCUUCGGGUUGUAAAGCACGUUCAGCGAGGAGGCGUUACUCGCAGAAGAAGCACCGGCUAACUCCGUGCCAGCAGCCGCGGUAAUUC
rnacentral:rRNA from 1 species